GAUGAACGCUGGCGGCGUGCUUAACACAUGCAAGUCGAGCGGGCAAUUUAUCUAGCACUGAUUACUUCAAAUGGCUAUCGCCAGUGUAAUCAUGAAUUUCUACCUUAUAAUAAAGAAAAAAGAAAUUCAUGUACGCAAAUAGUGAUAACACAUGAAAGUGGAGUGAUGAGUGCUGGAUAAAUUGCUAGCGGCGGACGGGUGCGUAACACGUGGGUAACCUGCCCCUAUCACUGGGAUAACACACUGAAAAGUGUGCUAAUACCAGAUAAUAUAAGCUUUUGGCAUCAUUAGCUUAUCAAAGAAUUUCGGAUAGGGAUGGGCCCGCGUCUGAUUAGCUAGUUGGUGAGGUAACGGCUCACCAAGGCAACGAUCAGUAGCCGACCUGAGAGGGUGAUCGGCCACACUGGAACUGAGACACGGUCCAGACUCCUACGGGAGGCAGCAGUGGGGAAUAUUGCACAAU
rnacentral:rRNA from 1 species